rnacentral:rRNA from 1 species
UACGUAGGGUGCAAGCGUUGUCCGGAAUUAUUGGGCGUAAAGAGCGUGUAGGCGGCCCGAUUAGUCCGCUGUGAAAGUCCAGGGCUCAACCCUGGAAUGCCGGUGGAUACUGUCGGGCUAGAGUCCGGAAGGGGCGAGUGGAAUUCCCGGUGUAGAGGUGAAAUUCGUAGAUAUCGGGAGGAACACCAGUGGCGAAGGCGGCGAUCUGGGAAGAUACUGACGCUGAGGUGCGAAAGCGUGGGGAGCAAACAGG